UGCAAGUCGAGCGAACAGAUAAGGAGCUUGCUCCUUUGACGUUAGCGGCGGACGGGUGAGUAACACGUGGGUAACCUACCUAUAAGACUGGAAUAACUCCGGGAAACCGGGGCUAAUGCCGGAUAACAUGUUGAACCGCAUGGUUCUACAGUGAAAGACGGUCUUGCUGUCACUUAUAGAUGGACCCGCGCCGUAUUAGCUAGUUGGUGGGGUAACGGCCUACCAAGGCGACGAUACGUAGCCGACCUGAGAGGGUGAUCGGCCACACUGGAACUGAGACACGGUCCAGACUCCUACGGGAGGCAGCAGUAGGGAAUCUUCCGCAAUGGGCGAAAGCCUGACGGAGCAACGCCGCGUGAGUGAUGAAGGUCUUCGGAUCGUAAAGCUCUGUUGUUAGGGAAGAACAAAUGUGUAAGUAACUGUGCACAUCUUGACGGUACCUAACCAGAAAGCCACGGCUAACUACGUGCCAGCAGCCGCGGUAAUCGUAGGUGCAAGCGUAUUCCGGAUUAUUG
rnacentral:rRNA from 1 species